rnacentral:rRNA from 1 species
AAUAGAUACCCGGGUAGUCCACGCCGUAAACGAUGUCGACUUGGAGGUUGUUCCCUUGAGGAGUGGCUUCCGGAGCUAACGCGUUAAGUCGACCGCCUGGGGAGUACGGCCGCAAGGUUAAAACUCAAAUGAAUUGACGGGGGCCCGCACAAGCGGUGGAGCAUGUGGUUUAAUUCGAUGCAACGCGAAGAACCUUACCUACUCUUGACAUCCAGAGAACUUAGCAGAGAUGCUUUGGUGCCUUCGGGAACUCUGAGACAGAUGCUGCAUGGCUGUCGUCAGCUCGUGUUGUGAAAUGUUGGGUUAAGUCCCGCAACGAGCGCAACCCUUAUCCUUUGUUGCCAGCGGUUCGGCCGGGAACUCAAAGGAGACUGCCAGUGAUAAACUGGAGGAAGGUGGGGAUGACGUCAAGUCAUCAUGGCCCUUACGAGUAGGGCUACACACGUGCUACAAUGGCGUAUACAAAGAGAAGCGACCUCGCGAGAGCAAGCGGACCUCAUAAAGUACGUCGUAGUCCGGAUUGGAGU